rnacentral:rRNA from 1 species
GAUGAACGCUGGCGGCGUGCCUAAUACAUGCAAGUCGAGCGAACAGACGAGGAGCUUGCUCCUCUGACGUUAGCGGCGGACGGGUGAGUAACACGUGGAUAACCUACCUAUAAGACUGGUAUAACUUCGGGAAACCGGAGCUAAUACCGGAUAAUAUAUUGAACCGCAUGGUUCAAUAGUGAAAGACGGUUUUGCUGUCACUUAUAGAUGGAUCCGCGCCGCAUUAGCUAGUUGGUAAGGUAACGGCUUACCAAGGCAACGAUGCGUAGCCGACCUGAGAGGGUGAUCGGCCACACUGGAGCUGGGACACGGUCCAGACUCCUACGGGAGGCAGCAGUAGGGAAUCUUCCGCAAUGGGCGAAAGCCUGACGGAGCAACGCCGCGUGAGUGAUGAAGGUCUUCGGAUCGUAAAACUCUGUUAUUAGGGAAGAACAAAUGUGUAAGUAACUAUGCACGUCUUGACGGUACCUAAUCAGAAAGCCACGGCUAACUACGUG